rnacentral:lncRNA from 1 species
AAAAUCCAUUUUUUCACAAAGAUUAUUUUUCGUCUUUCCUAGACACCUUAGUUACUGGAGCAGUGGAUAUCUACAAGCGUAAAGACACUGUGAAGUGCCUGGUUACGUCUGCUGGGCGCCAAGUGCAGCACUGAACACACUUUACCAGCUAACAUGUAAAUGUGGAGACUUCUGGUCAGGAGGCCUGUCUGAGCUCAGGAAGUCCGAGGGUUCCAGGUCUCUUCCUGCAAGUUUUCCCUCACAACUAAUUUAAAUACAGUAAAAAUGUCUGCCUGUUGUUUACAAGCAACUGGGGACCUGAAUUCCUUCAUCCCGGGCCACUGGAGACUCUAGAUGAAGUACUAGAAUGAACAAUUUAAUGAAUAAAUAAUUAACACACAAUUAAAAAGUUAUUAAA